UGCUCCUGCCCUUGACAUGCUCACGAAGGACACAGGGGCUACCAGAGCCCAGGGAGGGGCAGGCAGAGGCUCCAGAGGGGAGGCGCCCUUUGAGCUGGACUUCAAAGAUGCAUGUGUUCAAUCACCAGUGCAGGCCUUAUCAGUGCCGGGGACCCACCGGGGAGGCACUCCUGUCACCCACACUGUGCAGAUAAGGAAACUGAGGCUUGGCCAGAGGAAGCGACUUGAACCCUCUUCGCAUCUGGGUAGCUUGCUCUCUCUUCUGCGUGCCCAGGACAUUUAUGCGCCACUCCAUCCUGGUUCAUUGUCCAUCUCCGGAGGGCAAGGACUGCACCCGAGCACAGAAAAAUAUACACAGAGCAGCGCGGAUCACGUUGUUGGCGUUGAGCGCAACGUUACCAGCCCCAC